CAAGGAGUAGUUAAAUAAGAAUACCAGCUUUGGGUGUUGGAGGUAAGGCUAUAGCUUUCUCCUUGA
rnacentral:tRNA from 1 species